CUGUGGCGGGGCGGUAUUGGGCCUAGGAUUUGGGAUCCCGCAAUGUUGCAGGCCUAGCGGGAAGGGACUGUGCGGGAGUGGGUUCUCAGCGGGACGGCCCAAACGAAACCGCGGUUGACCCUAAUGUCCCGCACCUGAAACAGAGAGAGAGAGAGAGUGAGAGGAAGACGAGUCGCCGCCACAAGAAAUGGAGCUCCGGCGACGGCAUAAGAUCCGGUACUUCUAUCUCGGCGAUAAGCUCCGGUACUUCUCGGCAAUAUGUAUUAUCGUUAGAAUACAAGGUGGUUUCCAUGACAAACUGUAUUUUUCCGGCAAGGACAAACUGUUUUGUUUUCGUUAGAAUACAAAGUGGUUUCCAUGAGAUUAGAAACUCGAUUCCUGACGUUGUAGCUGUUUCACGUCUUCUUAAUGCUACUCUAGUUAUCCCUGAGAUCCAAUCAACAACCAGCAGCAAAGGGAUUAGCAUAUUUGUAGAUUGUUGAGUUGAAAACUUUGCCCACGCUUGUAUUGAUGCUUCAGUCAGAAGAUCCAUCUGUGCAUGGCGAAGCGAUUGGGGCAAUUGGAAAUCUUGUCCACUCGUCUCCUGACAUCAAGAAAGAGGUUAUCCGCGCUGGUGGUGCCUUACAACCAGUCAUCAGUCUACUUAGCUCAACUUGUUUGGAGACACAGAGAGAAGCAGCAUUUGUUUCUUUUGAUUUGGUGUUUUGAGUUGCUGUUUUUUUCAAAGACUUUUAGUAUUAGCAGCUUUGAUUUGGUGUUUGGUUUUAUUUGAUAUCCUCUGACUUGCUGUUUGAUAUUCUAUUAUGGUUUUGUGUUUCAAUUCAAGUUCUCGUUUCUUAUAACAAGUUGCUGGUUCUUAUUUUACAUGUUACGUGUUUUAUUAUGGUUCUUAUUUUACAGUUUGGUAUUGCUCUCGUGAAAUGAGUUUGUUAUUAUGGUUCUUAUUUUACAGUUUGUUAUUUUAAAAAGACUUGUGUGAGACUGAGAGUUUACAAGACUAGCUUUGACAGAGCUAUUUUGUAUAUGUGUAUUUCUCUCAUUUUUCUUUCUCAAGUAACUACAACAUUGAUAAUUAAUCAAUUGAUAGUCUUAGUCUAACGUUAUACAAUUCAUAUUUUAUUCACCAAACAUUGCAACUUAAGAAUGUCGUAGUGGAAACUCUAUAAAGAUGGCUCCACAUUGCUUCAAUUUUUUGUAAGUCUACUCAUAUUUUGUUCACCCUAAUGCACUUAGGUAUGUUACUGGAGCAGGCUGGAGCGGCCUGCAGCGUCAAGAAGCAUACUGAGCGGCCUGCAGCAUCGAGAAGCGUCCUGCAGCACUACAUUAAUGUUGUCCUGCGGGUCGGCCCGUAAAGGAUUGUGCAUUUGGCGGGACGGGAUUGGGACAGAGCUUUUGGGACUGCAGCCCCCGCGGGCCGGACCCGCUUUGAACCGCUCGACGACGAUCCCGCUGCGGGACGGGACGGGAUGGGACGGGACGACCUCUUUGACAUUCCUAAUUAUAUUAAUCCAAAAUAUUAAUAGCAAGUAUUCUUUUCUUAAAUAAAAUAUACGAAAUUACCUAAUAUGAUUACAUAUUUAUGACAAUUAAUGAUUAUAGAUAAUAAAGAUUUGGUAACAA